rnacentral:rRNA from 1 species
GAUUUCGGGGUGAGAUGAGCCCGGUCCACCGCAGUUCGGUGAGUACCGGCUCGUCCACCUCCUCCCUCCGGUGCCCCGUCCUUUCCCGUUGACUCGGGUUAAGGGCGUUGAGGGAAGAAGGGGGGGCAACUUCUCUUCUUUCCGGGGCCCGGACCUUUUACCUUGAGGAAAUUAGAGUGUUCAAAGCGGGCGCGAAAAAUCUCGCCGUUGAAUACGUCAGCAUGGGAUAAUGGAAUAGGACCCCGUUCCUGUUUCCGUUGGUUUACAAAUUGGGAAUGGGGUAAUGAUUGAUAGGGAUAGUUGGGGGCAUCGAUAUUUAAUUGUCAGAGGUGAAAUUCUUGGAUUUAUGAAAGAUCGACUUCCGCGAAAGCAUUUGCCAAGGAUGUUUUCAUUAAUCAAGAACGAAAGUUAGGGGAUCGAAGACGAUCAGAUACCGUCGUAGUCUUAACCAUAAACCGUGCCGACCAGCGAUCGGGAGACGUCGCAUGGAUGACUCCCCCGGCAGCUUGUGAGAAAUCACAAGUCUUUGGGUUCCGGGG